rnacentral:rRNA from 1 species
GUCCACGCCGUAAACGAUGGGCACUAGGUGUGGGGGGUGUCGACUCCCUCCGUGCCGAAGCUAACGCAUUAAGUGCCCCGCCUGGGGAGUACGGCCGCAAGGCUAAAACUCAAAGGAAUUGACGGGGGCCCGCACAAGCAGCGGAGCAUGUGGUUUAAUUCGAAGCAACGCGAAGAACCUUACCUGGGCUUGACAUGUGCCUGACCGCCGUGGAAACACGGCUUCCCUUCGGGGCAGGUUCACAGGUGGUGCAUGGCUGUCGU